rnacentral:rRNA from 1 species
CUGCUGCCUUCCGUAGGAGUCUGGUCCGUGUCUCAGUACCAGUGUGGGGGGACCUUCCUCUCAGAACCCCUACGCAUCGUCGCCACGGUGGGCCGUUACCCCGCCGUCUAGCUAAUGCGCCGCAUGCCCAUCCUCUUCCGAUGAAUCUUUCCUCGAUCUCGGAUGCCCGAAACCGAUAUACGCGGGAUUAGCCUCCCUUUCGGAAGGUUGUCCCCCUGAAGAGGGCAGGUUGCAUACGUGUUACUCACCCGUGCGCCGGUCGCCGG